rnacentral:rRNA from 1 species
CCUACGGGCCGCAGCAGUGGGGAAUAUUGCACAAUGGGCGCAAGCCUGAUGCAGCCAUGCCGCGUGUAUGAAGAAGGCCUUAGGGUUGUAAAGUACUUUCAGUUGGGAGGAAGGCGGUGAUGCUAAUAUCAUCAACGAUUGACGUUACCAACAGAAGAAGCACCGGCUAACUCCGUGCCAGCAGCCGCGGUAAUACGGAGGGUGCAAGCGUUAAUCGGAAUUACUGGGCGUAAAGCGCACGCAGGCGGGUGAUUAAGCUAGAUGUGAAAUCCCCGGGCUUAACCUGGGAAUGGCAUCUAAGACUGGUCAGCUAGAGUCUUGUAGUGGGGGGUAGAAUUCCAUGUGUAGCGGUGAAAUGCGUAGAGAUGUGGAGGAAUACCGGUGGCGAAGGCGGCCCCCUGGACAAAGACUGACGCUCAGGUGCGAAAGCGUGGGGAGCAAACAGGAUUAGAUACCCGCGUAGUC